CAACCCUCGAACCCCUCCGGGGGGUCGGCGUUGGGGACCUCGGGAGCCCCUAAGACGGGAUCCCGGCCCCGAAAUACAGUGGCGGUCUCGCCGCAGCCUCUCCUGCGCAGUAGUUUGCACAACUCGCACCGGGAGCGCGGCGCGUCCACGUCCGUAAAACACCCAACUUUCUGAAA
rnacentral:misc_RNA from 1 species